UUUACUAGAAAUUUCAUUGUUGUCAGUAUUGACAUGUAGAAUGGGACUC
rnacentral:tRNA from 2 species